rnacentral:rRNA from 1 species
GAGUUUGAUCGUGGCUCAGAUUGAACGCUGGCGGCAGGCCUAACACAUGCAAGUCGAGCGGUAGAGAGAAGCUUGCUUCUCUUGAGAGCGGCGGACGGGUGAGUAAUGCCUAGGAAUCUGCCUGGUAGUGGGGGAUAACGCUCGGAAACGGACGCUAAUACCGCAUACGUCCUACGGGAGAAAGCAGGGGACCUUCGGGCCUUGCGCUAUCAGAUGAGCCUAGGUCGGAUUAGCUAGUUGGUGAGGUAAUGGCUCACCAAGGCGACGAUCCGUAACUGGUCUGAGGA